GCUUAUUUAUUUUAAAUAAAAAAUUUUGAUUUGUGAUGUCAAAGAUCUCUAAGAGGAUAGGCU
rnacentral:tRNA from 1 species